UACGUAGGCAGCGAGCGUUGUUCGGAGUUACUGGGCGUAAAGCGUGCGUAGGCGGUUGUCUAAGUUUGGUGUGAAAUCUCCUGGCUUAACUGGGAGGGUGCGCCGAAAACUGGGUGACUGGAGUGUCGGAGAGGUAAGCGGAAUUCCUGGUGUAGCGGUGAAAUGCGCAGAUAUCAGGAGGAACACCGGUGGCGAAGGCGGCCUGCUGGGCUAUGGCUGACACUGAGGCGCGACAGCGUGGGGAGCAAACAGG
rnacentral:rRNA from 1 species